rnacentral:pre_miRNA from 1 species
GGAAGUUAAUAAACUGUUUUUUAACUUUUAACUAAAAAAUGUAAGAACCGGUUCUUAAAGUCUUUAUUUAAGAACCGAUUCUUACAUUUUUUAGUUAAAAGUUAAGAAACAGUUUCUUAAAUUCC